UACAUGUGGGGCGAGCGUUGUUCGGAAUCACUGGGCAUAAAGGGUGCGUAGGCGGUGUCGUAAGUCUUGGGUGAAAUCCUGCGGCCCAACCGUGGGUCUGCCUGAGAUACUGCGAUACUUGAGUGCGUGAGGGGUGACUGGAACGCGUGGUGUAGCGGUGAAAUGCGUAGAUAUCACGCGGAAGGCCAACGGCGAAGGCAGGUCACUGGCACGCAACUGACGCUGAGUGCACGAAAGCGUGGGGAGCAAACAGGAUUAGAUACCCUGGUAGUCCACGCCGUAAACGAUGGGCACUGGAUCGUCGGCGCGCUAUGCGUUGGCGGUCGUAGCUAAUUCAUUAAGUGCCCCGCCUGGGGAGUAUGGUCGCAAGGCUG
rnacentral:rRNA from 1 species